GAUGAAGAACGUAGCGAAAUGCGAUACUUGGUGUGAAUUGCAGAAUCCCGUGAACCAUCGAGUCUUUGAACGCAAGUUGCGCCCGAAACCACUAGGCCGAGGGCACGCCUGCCUGGGCGUCACACGCCGUUGCCCCCCCAUCUACUCCUUCGGGAUUGCGGGGGGGCGGAUGAUGGCCUCCUGUGCGCCUAGCCGCGCGGUUGGCAUAAAUACCAAGUCCUCGGCGACGCACGCCACGACAAUCGGUGGUUGCGAAACCUCGGUUGCCCGUCGUGUGCGUUCGUCGCGCAUCGAGGGCUCGAAAAAAUGCUCGGCUCCGGCUGGGCUUUCAACGCGACCCCAGGUCAGGCGGGGUUACCCGCUGAAUUUAAGCAUAUCAAUAAGCGGAGGA
rnacentral:misc_RNA from 1 species